AGGCGUAUCAUGUGAAGAGGUGGUUAUGGCAUCCUUAUCCAAAACACCUCAUGCGGCACUCUCCUUUUUCACACCAUCAUAAGUCCAUCUUCACGCCAUCUGAUGUUGACCAAGUCAACAUCAAAUGCUGAUCCAUCACGCCAUGAAUCUUGAUCAUCCAUCAUCUCAUGAUGAAGAUCCAAGGGCUAGAAUGCAAGGCGCCAUGAGUAAGGGGAGUUAUGUCAUCAUCCAACGAUUCUAGGAUGAUCCAAUGGUCCCAAUGCAAGGCGCCUCAUCAUAAUCAUAUUAUGUCUUCAUCC
rnacentral:lncRNA from 1 species